rnacentral:siRNA from 1 species
AGGCUACAUCUUGGUUGUCGGCAC